CGACCUCAGAGCAGGCGAGACUACCCGCUGAAUUUAAGCAUAUUACUAAGCGGAGGAAAAGAAACUAACAAGGAUUCCCCCAGUAGCGGCGAGCGAACAGGGAAGAGUCCAGCACCGAACCCCGCAGGCUGCCGCCUGUCGUGGCAUGUGGUGUUUGGGAGGGUCCACUACCCCGACGCCUCGCGCCGAGCCCAAGUCCAACUUGAAUGAGGCCACGGCCCGUAGAGGGUGCCAGGCCCGUAGCGGCCGGUGCGAGCGUCGGCGGGACCUCUCCUUCGAGUCGGGUUGCUUGAGAGUGCAGCUCCAAGUGGGUGGUAAACUCCAUCUGAGACUAAAUAUGACCACGAGACCGAUAGCGAACAAGUACCGUGAGGGAAAGUUGAAAAGAACUUUGAAGAGAGAGUUCAAAAGUACGUGAAACCGUUCUGGGGUAAACGUGAGAAGUCCGAAAGGUCGAACGGGUGAGAUUCACGCCCAUCCGGCCACUGGCCUCCACCCUCGGCAGAUGGGGCCGGCCGCCCGCGCGGAGCAAUCUGCGGCGGGGUCGUGUCCGGUUGCCUUUCCACUCGCCGCGGGGUGGGGCCGUUCCGGUGUGCGGUGGGCCGCACUUCUCCCCUAGUAGGACGUCGCGACCCGCUGGGUGCCGGCCUACGGCCCGGGUGCGCAGCCUGUCCUUCCGCGGGCCUCGGUUCGCGUCUGUUGGGCAGAGCCCCGGUGUCCUGGCUGGCUGCCCGGCGGUAUAUCUGGAGGAGUCGAUUCGCCCCUUUGGGCGCUCGGGCUCCCGGCAAGCGCGCGCGGUUCUUCCCGGAUGACGGACCUACCUGGCCCGGCCCCGGACCCGCGCCGCUGUUGGCUCGGGAUGCUCUCGGGCGGAAUAAUCGCUCCCGUCAGCGGCGCUUCAGCUUUGGACAAUUUCACGACCCGUCUUGAAACACGGACCAAGGAGUCUAACAUGUGCGCGAGUCAUUGGGCUGUACGAAACCUAAAGGCGUAAUGAAAGUGAAGGUCUCGCCUUGCGCGGGCCGAGGGAGGAUGGGGCUUCCCCGCCCUUCACGGGGCGGCGGCCUCCGCACUCCCGGGGCGUCUCGUCCUCAUUGCGAGGUGAGGCGCACCUAGAGCGUACACGUUGGGACCCGAAAGAUGGUGAACUAUGCCUGGCCAGGACGAAGUCAGGGGAAACCCUGAUGGAGGUCCGUAGCGAUUCUGACGUGCAAAUCGAUCGUCGGAGCUGGGUAUAGGGGCGAAAGACUAAUCGAACCAUCUAGUAGCUGGUUCCCUCCGAAGUUUCCCUCAGGAUAGCUGGUGCUCGUACGAGUCUCAUCCGGUAAAGCGAAUGAUUAGAGGCCUUGGGGCCGAAACGACCUCAACCUAUUCUCAAACUUUAAAUGGGUGAGAUCUCCGGCUUGCUUGAUAUGCUGAAGCCGCGAGCAAACGACUCGGAUCGGAGUGCCAAGUGGGCCACUUUUGGUAAGCAGAACUGGCGCUGUGGGAUGAACCAAACGCCGAGUUAAGGCGCCCGAAUCGACGCUCAUGGGAAACCAUGAAAGGCGUUGGUUGCUUAAGACAGCAGGACGGUGGCCAUGGAAGUCGGAAUCCGCUAAGGAGUGUGUAACAACUCACCUGCCGAAGCAACUAGCCCUGAAAAUGGAUGGCGCUGAAGCGUCGUGCCUAUACUCGGCCGUCAGUCUGGCAGUCAUGGCCGGUCCUUGCGGCCGGCCGCGAAGCCCUGACGAGUAGGAGGGUCGCGGCGGUGGGCGCAGAAGGGUCUGGGCGUGAGCCUGCCUGGAGCCGCCGUCGGUGCAGAUCUUGGUGGUAGUAGCAAAUACUCCAGCGAGGCCCUGGAGGGCUGACGCGGAGAAGGGUUUCGUGUGAACAGCCGUUGCACACGAGUCAGUCGAUCCUAAGCCCUAGGAGAAAUCCGAUGUUGAUGGGGGCCGUCAUAGCAUGAUGCGCUUUGUGCUGGCCCCCGUUGGGCGAAAGGGAAUCCGGUUCCUAUUCCGGAACCCGGCAGCGGAACCGAUACAAGUCGGGCCCCUCUUUUAGAGAUGCUCGUCGGGGUAACCCAAAAGGACCCGGAGACGCCGUCGGGAGAUCGGGGAAGAGUUUUCUUUUCUGCAUGAGCGUUCGAGUUCCCUGGAAUCCUCUAGCAGGGAGAUAGGGUUUGGAACGCGAAGAGCACCGCAGUUGCGGCGGUGUCCCGAUCUUCCCCUCGGACCUUGAAAAUCCGGGAGAGGGCCACGUGGAGGUGUCGCGCCGGUUCGUACCCAUAUCCGCAGCAGGUCUCCAAGGUGAAGAGCCUCUAGUCGAUAGAAUAAUGUAGGUAAGGGAAGUCGGCAAAUUGGAUCCGUAACUUCGGGAUAAGGAUUGGCUCUGAGGAUCGGGGCGUGUCGGGCUUGGUCGGGAAGUGGGUCAGCGCUAACGUGCCGGGCCUGGGCGAGGUGAGUGCCGUAGGGGUGCCGGUAAGUGCGGGCGUUUAGCGCGGGCGUGGUCUGCUCUCGCCGUUGGUCGGCCUCGUGCUGGUCGGCGGUGCAGGAUGCGCGCGCCUGCGCGGCGUUCGCGCCCCGGUGCUUCAACCUGCGUGCAGGAUCCGAGCUCGGUCCCGUGCCUUGGCCUCCCACGGAUCUUCCUUGCUGCGAGGCCGCGUCCGCCUUAGCGUGCUCCUCCGGGGGCGCGCGGGUGCGCGGAUUCUCUUCGGCCGCCAUUCAACGAUCAACUCAGAACUGGCACGGACUGGGGGAAUCCGACUGUCUAAUUAAAACAAAGCAUUGCGAUGGCCCUAGCGGGUGUUGACGCAAUGUGAUUUCUGCCCAGUGCUCUGAAUGUCAACGUGAAGAAAUUCAAGCAAGCGCGGGUAAACGGCGGGAGUAACUAUGACUCUCCCUGGUCUGCUGGACUUCUGGGCGGACCUCUUCACCAAGAAGCCCAUCUCCACCGCGGGCUUCAUUCGUGACCGCCUCCUCCCGCACUCAGAGCCUGUCGCUCUCGAGUGCAUAUGGGGGCCGGUCACACAUGAGGAGGUCGCCGCCGCGUUGCCGCCCAGGGGAUCAGCAGCCGGGCCGGACGGCCUUACCCCAGCGGAGUUGCGGCGCCUGCCGCACGAAGUCCUGGUGAAAGUGAUGAAUCUCUUCCUUCUGGCCCGCGCCGUUCCGGAACGCCUGCUUCGCGCGCGGACGUCCCUUCUCCCGAAAACGGCUGCACCAACAUCCCCCGCUGACUUUCGCCCCAUUACGGUCUGCUCGGUGUUGGCGCGGACCUUUCACAAGGUUCUCGCGUCACGCCUGAUGCGCGCAUGUGCUGUGGACGAACGUCAGCGGGCAUUCAUCCCUCGGGAUGGGAUGUUGGAAAAUACCUUCAUCUUGGACACUGCUCUCACCGACGCAGUUCGCUCCUGCCGCUCUGUCUUUGUGGCAUCGAUCGACGUAUCUAAGGCAUUCGAUUCGGUAGAUCAUGCUGCCCUUCGCCCCGUGCUGAAGGCGCAUGGCCUGCCGGAUUGCUUUGUCGAGUAUGUCGAGCGGUGCUACGAGGGCAGCACGACAGUGAUAGCGGACGGUGCCGGCGUGGGCGUGUCUGUGCAGCCAGCACGGGGCGUUCGCCAGGGCGAUCCCCUCUCCCCCCUCCUGUUCAACUUUGCGGUGGACUACGUUUUAGGCCAACUGCCCUCCCACAUCGGAGCUCGGAUCCUCGGUCGCAGAGUCAACGCUGCGGCCUUUGCAGAUGACGUCUUGCUGUUUGCAGCGACCCCGAGGGGCUUGCAGUCCCUCAUCGACGCAGCUACCGCAGCCCUCGCCCACCUGGGGCUGCAGAUCAACGCCCGGAAGUGUUUCACCCUCGCCUUAGUCGCGUCAGGGCGCGAGAAGAAGGUGAAGGUGGACAGCAAUGUCACCUUCACAGCAGGCAAUACCACCAUGCCUGCCCUGCGUGUGGGUGAAACCUUCCGGUACCUGGGGCUGCAGUUUUCCACGGCGGGUCGCUGUGUCUUCAAUCCACGUAGCCACCUGGUGGAGCAGCUUGACGUCAUCUCCCGAGCUCCGCUGAAGCCGCAACAGCGCCUCCACGCUCUCACCAACGUACUUCUCCCUGGCCUGUACCACGGGCUGGCCCUCAGCCGCACCCGGGUGGGUGCAUUGAAGUCGGCCGACGUUACCAUCCGGGCCGCCGUCAGGAGAUGGUUCCGCCUUCCGGCGGACACCCCCCUGGGAUACUUCCACGCUCCUGUUGCCCAGGGGGGCCUCGGCAUUCCAUCUUGCCGAUGGAUGGGUCCGACCCUCCGUCGGUCCCGUCUCCUGGCGCUGAAGAAGAUAGGGCCAGCCUGCGACGGUGCAGGCAUGGAUGAGGUGCAGCGUGAGAUCGAGGUGCUGGAGCGCCACCUAAUGUGGGAGGGCCACCUCCUCAAAUCGUCAACGCAGGUUGGGGAAAUGUGGGCGGCGCGCCUACACAUCGCCAUUGACGGUGCGGCACUGUCAUCUUCUGCCGCCGUCAGUGGCCAACAUCAGUGGGUCGCCGACACCAGUCGCCUGCUAUCUGGGCGUGAAUACAUCGACGCCCUCCGCGCCCGCAUCAACGCCUUCCCUACGAAGGCACGGCGCAGUCGCGGGCGGGAGGCGGACACCAGAUGCCGCGCGGGGUGCCAGGCCGUGGAGACCGCCAACCACGUACUUCAGGCUUGCUUUAGGACGCACGGGUCCCGGGUCAAGCGCCAUGACGCUGUAGUGCGUUAUGUCGCCCGUGGACUCGCGCAGAGGGGCUUCAAUGUCUCUGUGGAGCCCCACCUCCGAACACCUGAGGGCAUCCGCAAGCCUGACGUGGUGGCGGUCAAAGACGGCAUCGCCCGCGUGGUCGACGCCCAGAUAGUCGGAGACCACCUCCGGCUCGACUGGUGUCACUCCCAGAAGGCGGCCUACUACGACACGCCGUCCAUCCGGCGUGCCAUCUCCAACCUGCACCGUGACGUUGAGGAGGUGAUUGUGUCCACCGCGACGUUGAACUGGAGGGGUGUAUGG